CUCAACCUUGGAAUUGCAUUCCAAACUGAAAGACUGGAGUACGAUAGAGGGAGGUAGAAUUCAGAGUGUAGCGGUGAAAUGCGUAGAUAUUCUGAGGAAUACCAGUGGCGAAGGCGGCCUCCUGGAUUGAUACUGACACUGAGGCGCGAAAGUGUGGGGAGCAAACAGGAUUAGAUACCCUGGUAGUCCACGCCGUAAACGAUGUCUACUAGCCGUUGGGAGGCUUGACCUCUUAGUGGCGAAGCAAACGCGAUAAGUAGACCGCCUGGGGAGUACGGUCGCAAGAUUAAAACUCAAAUGAAUUGACGGGGGCCCGCACAAGCGGUGGAGCAUGUGGUUUAAUUCGAUGCAACGCGAAAAACCUUACCAGGCCUUGACAUCCUGAGAACUUUCUAGAGAUAGAUUGGUGCCUUCGGGAGCUC
rnacentral:rRNA from 1 species